rnacentral:rRNA from 1 species
UUCCGUAGGUGAACCUGCGGAAGGAUCAUUACCGAGUUGAUUCGAGCUCCGGCUCGACUCUCCCACCCAAUGUGUACCUACCUCUGUUGCUUUGGCGGGCCGCGGUCCUCCGCACCGGCGCCCUUCGGGGGGCUGGCCAGCGCCCGCCAGAGGACCAUAAAACUCCAGUCAGUGAACUUCGCAGUCUGAAAAACAAGUUAAUAAACUAAAACUUUCAACAACGGAUCUCUUGGUUCUGGCAUCGAUGAAGAACGCAGCGAAAUGCGAUAAGUAAUGUGAAUUGCAGAAUUCAGUGAAUCAUCGAAUCUUUGAACGCACAUUGCGCCCCUUGGUAUUCCGAGGGGCAUGCCUGUUCGAGCGUCAUUUCAACCCUCAAGCUCUGCUUGGUAUUGGGCCUCGUCCUCCACGGACGCGCCUUAAAGACCUCGGCGGUGGCGUCUUGCCUCAAGCGUAGUAGAAAACACCUCGCUUUGGAGCGCACGGCGUCGCCCGCCGGACGAACCUUUGAAUUAUUUCUCAAGGUUGACCUCGGAUCAGGUAGGGAUACCCGCUGAACUUAAGCAUAUCAAUAAGCGGGGG